CUACACAUGCAGUCGACGGUAGCACAGAGGAGCUUGCUCCCUUGGGUGACGAGUGGCGGACGGGUGAGUAAUGUCUGGGAACUGCCCGAUGGAGGGGGAUAACUACUGGAAACGGUAGCUAAUACCGCAUAACGUCGCAAGACCAAAGAGGGGGACCUUCGGGCCUCUUGCCAUCGGAUGUGCCCAGAUGGGAUUAGCUAGUAGGUGGGGUAACGGCUCACCUAGGCGACGAUCCCUAGCUGGUCUGAGAGGAUGACCAGCCACACUGGAACUGAGACACGGUCCAGACUCCUACGGGAGGCAGCAGUGGGGAAUAUUGCACAAUGGG
rnacentral:rRNA from 1 species